AGGGUACACUUAGUCGGGGAAGUAUCUAUUUAUGCCUGUGACUGCUCUUUUGCAGCGUGAAGCUAUUCCAUGAGUUUCACACGGAAAUGUUCUUCGACUGAUCAGAUUAAAGUUCUUUUGGCGAAAGCUUGUCCUGCAUAGGAGGAAUCUGGUUACAUAGACAGACUUGUAACUUGCAUAAACAAAGCUAGUUGAUUCAAGUCAAUUGAUAGUUGUUUUCAUCAUGAGCAUCCAAAGAGUCUCUUCAUAUGGAUCUUCUUCCUCUGGUUGGAAAUAUGAUGUGUUCCUAAGUUUUUGAGGUGAAGACACCAGAAAGAAUUUCAAGGGUCAUCUCUAUUAUGCUUUGACUCGUAAAAUUGGAAUCGUAAACCUAAACCCUAAACCCACCAAUUGAUCCACAUCAUAGAAAAUUGGAACCACUUUUUGUCCCAAUGUGUUCUUACAUUCAAUAAUAUUAACAAGUUUAUCCAAGCACCAAGGAGAAGAAGCAUAGUUUUUUGAGAAAACAACAAUUGAAAUUCUCGAUUUUUCGAUUGCAUGAAGGGGUUUUGAUGAAAUGGGUUUUUCUAUCUCAAGUUCUUUGACUCCUUUAUGAGUCAAAACAGAAUAGAGAUGAUCAGUGAAAUUUUGCUUUGACUCAUAAAGGAGUCAAAGCACUCGGGAUAGGAAAACCCAUUUCAUCAGAACUCCUAGAUGCAAUUGAAAAAUCGAGAAUUUCAAUUGUUGUUUUCUCAGGAAACUAUGUUUCUUCUCUUUGGUGCUUGGCUUAACUUGUUAAGAUUAUUGGAUGUAAGAAGACAUUGGGACAAAAAGUGAUUCCAAUUUCUAUGAUGUGGAUCAAUUGGUGAAAGAAAACAGAUGGGUAAUUUUGAGAAAGCAUUUGCUAAGCAUGAAAGAAACCAUGCUUCUUCUCCUUGGUGCUUGAAUAGAAGUGAUUAAUAUCUAUCGAAGAGAUUUGCAGGAUAGUUAUGAGUCAGACUGUAUUGAACAUUGUUGUUAAUGCAGUAACAAGAAAAUUAAGUUGUUCAUCAGCUUCAACAUUCAUGAAUCUGAAGAAAGUUUUAGUUGGAGUGAGUUUCAUUUUUGGAGAAACUACUAAUGCAGGCUAAAAAACGAUGCCAAUGGUUCCAUGGAAGCAGUUCUCAAUUUCCCCAACACGGACCUCUUUUUUUCUUUUAUGUUAAUAUCAGGACAUUGAAAUCAUUUGAUACAUUAAUUAUAAGUUACUGAAAUUUGAAGUCUGUAAAUAGAAAUGAUAAAUAUGUUCAAGAUUGAAAUAUAAGAAGUUGGUAGAAAAGUUAAUACCUUGAA